rnacentral:rRNA from 1 species
AGAGUUUGAUCCUGGCUCAGAUUGAACGCUGGCGGCAUGCUUUACACAUGCAAGUCGAACGGCAGCGGGGUAGUGCUUGCACUACUGUCCGGCGAGUGGCGAACGGGUGAGUAAUAUAUCGGAACGUACCGAGUAAUGGGGGAUAACCAAUCGAAAGAUUGGCUAAUACCGCAUACGCUCUGAGGAGGAAAGCAGGGGACCUUCGGGCCUUGCGUUAUUCGAGCGGCCAAUAUCUGAUUAGCUAGUUGGUGGGGUAAAGGCCUACCAAGGCGACGAUCAGUAGCGGGUCUGAGAGGAUGAUCCGCCACACUGGGACUGAGACACGGCCCAGACUCCUACGGGAGGCAGCAGUGGGGAAUUUUGGACAAUGGGCGCAAGCCUGAUCCAGCCAUGCCGCGUGUCUGAAGAAGGCCUUCGGGUUGUAAAGGACUUUUGUUAGGGAAGAAAAGGAAAGUGUUAAUACCACUUUUUGCUGACGGUACCUAAAGAAUAAGCACCGGCUAACUACGUGCCAGCAGCCGCGGUAAUACGUAGGGUGCGAGCGUUAAUCGGAAUUACUGGGCGUAAAGCGAGCGCAGACGGUUACUUAAGCAGGAUGUGAAAUCCCCGGGCUCAACCUGGGAACUGCGUUCUGAACUGGGUAGCUAGAGUAUGUCAGAGGGGGGUAGAAUUCCACGUGUAGCAGUGAAAUGCGUAGAGAUGUGGAGGAAUACCGAUGGCGAAGGCAGCCCCCUGGGAUAAUACUGACGUUCAUGCUCGAAAGCGUGGGUAGCAAACAGGAUUAGAUACCCUGGUAGUCCACGCCCUAAACGAUGUCGAUUAGCUGUUGGGCAGCAUGACUGCUUAGUAGCGAAGCUAACGCGUGAAAUCGACCGCCUGGGGAGUACGGUCGCAAGAUUAAAACUCAAAGGAAUUGACGGGGACC